rnacentral:rRNA from 1 species
CCUACGGGUGGCAGCAGUGGGGAAUAUUGGACAAUGGGCGCAAGCCUGAUCCAGCCAUGCCGCGUGUGUGAAGAAGGCCUUUUGGUUGUAAAGCACUUUAAGCGAGGAGGAGGCUACUUGGAUUAAUACUCUAGGAUAGUGGACGUUACUCGCAGAAUAAGCACCGGCUAACUCUGUGCCAGCAGC